rnacentral:rRNA from 1 species
GAUGAACGCUGGCGGCGUGCCUAAUACAUGCAAGUCGAGCGAACAGACGAGGAGCUUGCUCCUCUGACGUUAGCGGCGGACGGGUGAGUAACACGUGGAUAACCUACCUAUAAGACUGGGAUAACUUCGGGAAACCGGAGCUAAUACCGGAUAAUAUAUCGAACCGCAUGGUUCAAUAGUGAAAGACGGUUUUGCUGUCACUUAUAGAUGGAUCCGCGCCGCAUUAGCUAGUUGGUAAGGUAACGGCUUACCAAGGCGACGAUGGGUAGCCGACCUGGUAAGGUGAUCGGCCACACUGGAACUGAGACACGGUCCAGCCUCCUACGGGAGGCGCCAGUAGGGAAUCUUCCGCAAUGGGCGAAGGCCUGCCGGAGCACCGCGGCGUGGGUGAUGAAGGUCUUCGGAUCGUAAGACUCUGUUAUUAGGGAGGAACGAAUGUGUAAGUAUCUAUGCACGUAUUGACGGUACCUAAUCAGAAAGCCACGACUAACUACGUG